rnacentral:rRNA from 1 species
GGAGUUUGGGCCGUGUCUCAGUCCCAAUGUGGCCGAUCACCCUCUCAGGUCGGCUAUGGAUCGAUGGCUUGGUGGGCCGUUACUCCGCCAACUACCUAAUCCAACGCGGGCCCAUCGUAUGCCGAUAAAUCUUUUCACACUGCAUCAUGCGAUGCUGUGCGCUUAUGCGGUAUUAGCAGUCGUUUCCAACUGUUGUCCCCCUGCAUACGGCAGGUUGCCCACGCGUUACUCACCCGUCCGCCACUAAACUUGCAGAAAUCCAUACGAGUACUUCAAUCCGCAAGUCCCGUUCGACUUGCAUGUGUUAAGCACGCCGCCAGCGUUCAUC